rnacentral:rRNA from 1 species
UUCCUACGGGGGGCAGCAGUGAGGACUUUUGGUCUUUGUGCGGAAGGCUGCACCAGCCAAGCCGCGUGAAGGACGAAGGUGCCAAGCAUUGUAAACUUCUUUUGUCAAGGGACAAAAUCAGGCUCGAGAGCCUGACCGAGGGUACUUGAAGAAAAAGCAUCGGCUAACUCCGUGCCAGCAGCCGCGGUAAUACGGAGGAUGCGAGCGUUAUCCGGAUUUAUUGGGUUUAAAGGGUGCGUAGGCGGGCUGUUAAGUCAGCGGUAAAAGCCCGGGGCUCAACCCCGGCGAGCCGUUGAAA